rnacentral:rRNA from 1 species
UACGUAGGUGGCAAGCGUUGUCCGGAUUUAUUGGGUUUAAAGGGUGCGUAGGCGGUCUUUUAAGUCAGUGCUGAAAUAUCCCGGCUUAACCGGGAGGGUGGCAUUGAUACUGAAGGACUUGAGUAAAGUUGAGGUUGGCGGAAUUGACGGUGUAGCGGUGAAAUGCGUAGAUAUCUGGAGGAACACCUGUGGCGAAGGCGUCCAUCUGGCCCGUUACUGACGCUGAGGCGCGAAAGCUAGGGGAGCAAACGGG